CUGCGAGCGCCCCAGGCUUCCUAUCGGGACGUGGGCUCAGCCGGCGGGCAGUGGCACCUGCUGGGGCUCCGAGGAGCUCGAGGAGUCGAUCUCCACCCCGACGCCUGGUGCGCAGCCCUCGGAGCACAGGCUAUCUCCGUCUUUCAUUUUCAGAACGAGGCUGGGGGGCUCUGAGGAUGUGUGCUCUCGUGUGAAAGCCCCACGAGGUCCUUCCUGACGCCGACCUCUCCCAGCCCCGAGUUCCAGGGGAGGACAGCGAGGCGCGGCACGGACCCCAGGACGAGGGCAAGGGGGAGGGCUCCCAGGCCUGCCUCCCUUUCAUGCUGGGCCUAGUGAGGUCACGUCAUGCACACGUAAUCAAUCCAAGUCAUUUCUAAACUCUGGAAGUUCUUAAUUGGGCUCUUGGGAGGAAGAAAGAGGAAGAGGAAAACUUGGAGGCCAGUUGCCAGCCCUCUGGGGACACGCAGUCCCAUCUCACAGGAGGAGUGAAUCGGUGUUCUCACGGGGUUUUCUGAAGCCAUCUGCAUUUCAGAGCUUUGUGAUGGAGCGAAGUUCUUCACUCCCACUCCUGGGCUGAUCUCCUCUGGGAGGCGGAGCUUCCAGCGUUUGGAGCGAGCCCUGGCUGCAGGCCCACAGCUGCUUCCUCCACACUAGCGAGCGCUCAGGCGAAGCUCAACCUCCACAGGACUUUGCUUUUGCAAAGGAGAAGACAAAGCCAGCAGAACCUCCUUAGCUUACGGGAAUUUUACCUAUUCACGGCUGCCCCUUUGCCCUUCGCGGAUCCAAUGGACUCAGGGAUGGUGGGGAGAAGCCACC
rnacentral:lncRNA from 1 species